rnacentral:rRNA from 1 species
GGAUAACUUACCCUUAGGACUGGGAUAACUCUGGGAAACUGGGGAUAAUACUGGAUAUUAGGCUAUGCCUGGAAUGGUUUGCCUUUGAAAUGUUUUUUCGCCUAAGGAUAGGUCUGCGGCUGAUUAGGUCGUUGGUGGGGUAAUGGCCCACCAAGCCGAUGAUCGGUACGGGUUGUGAGAGCAAGGGCCCGGAGAUGGAACCUGAGACAAGGUUCCAGACCCUACGGGGUGCAGCAGGCGCGAAACCUCCGCAAUGUACGAAAGUGCGACGGGGGAUCCCAAGUGUUAUGCUUUUUUGUAUGACUUUUCAUUAGUGUAAAAAGCUUUUAGAAUAAGAGCUGGGCAAGACCGGUGCCAGCCGCCGCGGUAACACCGGCAGCUCGAGUGGUAGCUGUUUUUAUUGGGCCUAAAGCGUUCGUAGCCGGUUUGAUAAGUCUUUGGUGAAAGCUUGUAGCUUAACUAUAAGAAUUGCUGGAGAUACUAUUAGACUUGAAGUCGGGAGAGGUUAGAGGUACUACCGGGGUAGGGGUGAAAUCCUAUAAUCCUGGGAGGACCACCUGUGGCGAAGGCGUCUAACUGGAACGAUCUUGACGGUGAGUA